ACAUGUCAGAAAGACUUUGGUCUCUGUAGCCAUCCCACUUGAAGGCAGGGAUUUCAAGGUUGCAAACCUGAGUGACCAGAAGAAUAGCGGUAUCACUAACAGACAGCAAGGUGGGGAAGAGAACUUCAGUUCUCAACGUACUGAGUUAGAGGUCAUGGCUCAAUGUUCAAGUGGCAGACAGAGAUGGGUUGGGUGUCUGGGAGAUGCGGAGGAAACCUUAGCACAGGUAAGGGUUGGAGCCAGGAGAAUGAACGAGCUCUCCAGGGGGAGGGUAGAGAGACACAGUGUGUGGGGACUGAGCCAGGAUGGGGGAACAAGAAAGUCAGCAGAUGAAACAGGUCCUGCAUCAUCCAUCAUUUAAAUAGAGAGGCUUGUUUAAGUGGUCCCAGAAUCACCAGGUUUUACAGAGUUCUCCUUUUGCUUUUGUUGGGUAGAACCGAUCCUUGAUUGUGUGUCCUUAAAAGGCAAGCACAAGUCUUUUUGUAAUUUUGUGUAGUCUUCCUCAACUUAAGAUGGGGUUAAGUCCCAAUAAACACAUCAUAAGUUGAAAAUAUCAUAAGUUAAAAAUGCAUUUAAUACACCUAACCUACUGAACAUAAGAGCUUAGCCCAACCUACCUUAAACAUGCUCAGAACACUUCCAUUAGCCUACACUUGGGCAAAAUCAUCUAACACAAAGCCUAUUUUUAUAUAAAGUGUCAAAUAUCUCAUGUAAUUUGUUGAGUACUGUACUGAAAGUGAAAGACGGAAUGGUUGUCAGUGUGUCAGUUGUUUACCCUCGUGAUUUCAUGGUUGACUCGGAGCUGCCUUGCCCAGCAUCACAAAAGAGUAUCACAGUGCAUAUUACUAGGUUGGGAGAAGAUCAAAAUUCAAAAAUCAAAGUGCGGUGUCUACUGAAUGCGUGUUUUCGCACCACUGUAAAAUCUAAAAAUCGUCAGUCAAACCAUCGUUAAGUCGGGGACUGUCUAUAUAAUAUUUAAUGUCCUGUUUUCCUGAUAGUGAAAGUGGUAUUACAGAAAACCUGUGCCUCCAAAGGAUUCCUGAUUUUGUUAGAAUGAUACCCUUCCCCCUAAAUCAAUGAUGGCUUGCCACUUGAAAACAUUCAACAGAUUCUUUUUUUAAACAAAGUCAUUCAGGUGGGAUGAUAAGAUUUUCUCUGAGGCUAGCACUGGUGCCUGCCUCCGUUCUUGGGCAUCCAGUUGAGGCACGCUAGCCUUGUGUGGCCUUAUCCAUCCUUCUAGGCUCUCAGCUCUGACCAAGCCUUGCUCAGAGCCAGGCUGUCUGUUUCCCUGACUACCUGGGACCUGGGGCAUGUGACAUGGUGUGGCUCUGAUAAUGGAAGCAGACUGGCACUGUGGAGCUAGGAACAAGGAAAGCCUUCUAGCACCCAAUCAGUCAAUCAGUCAAUCAAUCAAUCAAAAAAGACAAAGGAGAAAACCAAACACCAUCCUGCGAACUUGUCCACUAUUGGAACUUACCCAAUGCUGAUUGUGGAGGGAAGCCAGAGGGUCACAACCUAGAGGCCCAGCAGAAGAAAACCUCAGAGACAUUGUUUCUGGAACCCGGGGCUGCUCAGCAAUUGGGGCAGGAGUUUCUGGAACUCCCUCUGGUCCUCCUCCCAGUGAAGGGCAGGAGGUCGUGGGUGCCAGGGCGGAAAUGGUAGGUCGGAUGGGAGUGCGGUCCGGAGAGCCAGAAAGUUCUGUUCAUUGUCCUUCCCCCUGUCCAGUGCCCCUCUCCCUCCAUUUGACCCUGGCUGGUCUGCAGGUGGGUCGUGGGACCCCUCUGCCUCUGGUCACCCAGGAUGCUAGGUCAGGGGAGCACAGGGCUUAGGGUGCCACCCAGGUGCGUUGGGAGGAGGAGCUCUCUGCCUUCUUUCCUCUCGAGGUCUCAGUCAAAAGAAUUGUGUUCAAAUCCUGAUGGCUCCCUGUGUGACUGUGGCUUUGGGCAGGUCAUUUAACCCUUCUAAGCCACAUUCAGUCCCAGCACAGGGUCUGGAGCCUAAUAGGUCCUUGAAAGUGUAUUUGUUGAGUGAACGAAUGAACAAAGGAAUGCUUCCCCAUCUCUAUUGUGGGGAUAAUCGAAUUGGCACCAAGGAUGCUUUGGGGGGCAGAAUGCCAACAAGAUGCUGGUGUGGCAGAACUUUGUAAACUCUCAAGCCUUCUACAGUUACGUGAGAUAAAGGUGUGGGAAGAUGGAAAUGGGUGUGGAGCCGCAGGGCUGGGCUUCUCCCAGGAGAGCAGAGCCGGAGACUGUGGCCUCAGGAGAGGUGCAGAGCAGCCAGAGAGGAUGAUGGUCCCAUCUCUCCUGCUAAAGAAUUCUGCAGGAAAUGCCCACUGUUCCUCAAACCCCCUCCCGGGGUGCUCAGUUUAAACUCUAGACGUGCUCAGGAUUAUCUCUAGAAUAUUAAACAUGGGGAGAGGAGGAUCCUGGGCUUUAUCACCAGCUUCGCCCGGCUCCUGCCAAGUGAGGUGAAACGGCCCUGCUCCAGCUCAUGGCAGGGUCACGGCCUCCUCGCCCUGCUGGAGCUCAUCCUCUUCCCAAGGCCUGGCUUCCUGCUGGGACCCAUCCCCCUGCCAUGGCAUAUGUGUCACUUUGGCUC